rnacentral:rRNA from 1 species
CUACGGGCUGCUCCAGUGGGGAAUCUUGCGCAAUGGGCGAAAGCCUGACGCAGCAACGCCGCGUGCGGGAUGAAGGCCUUCGGGCUGUAAACCGCUUUCAGCAGGAACGAAAAUGACGGUACCUGCAGAAGAAGGAGCGGCCAACUACGUGCCAGCAGCCGCGGUGACACGUAGGCUCCAAGCGUUGUCCGGAUUUAUUGGGCGUAAAGAGCUCGUAGGCGGUUGAGUAAGUCGGGUGUGAAAACUCUGGGCUUGACCCGGAGACGCCAUCCGAUACUGCUCUGACUUGAGUUCAGGAGGGGAGUGGGGAAUUCCUAGUGUAGCGGUGAAAUGCGCAGAUAUUAGGAGGAACACCGGUGGCGAAGGCGCCACUCUGGACUGAAACUGACGCUGAGGAGCGAAAGCAUGGGUAGCAAACAGGAUUAGAUACCCCAGUAGUC